AUUGAACGCUGGCGGCAGGCCUAACACAUGCAAGUCGAGCGGAUGAAGGGAGCUUGCUCCUGUAUUCAGCUGCGGACGGGUGAGUAAUUCCUAGGAAUCUGCCCGGUAGUGGGGGAUAACGUCAGUAAACGGACGCUAAUACCGCAUACGUCCUGAUAGAGAAACGGAGGGAUCUUCGGACAUCAAGCUAUCUGCUGAGCCUUGGUCGGAUUAGCUAGUUGGUGGGGUAAAGGCCUACCAAGGCGACGAUCCGUAACUGGUCUGAGAGGAUGAUCAGUCACACUGGAACUGAGACACGGUCCAGACUCCUACGGGAGGCAGCAGUAGGGAAUCUUGGACAAUGGGCGAAAGCCUGAUCCAGCCAUGCCGCGUGUGUGAAGAAGGUCUUCGGAUUGUAAAGCACUUUAAGUUGGGAGGAAGGGCAGUAAGUUAAUCCCUUGCUGUUUUGACGGUACCAACAGAGUACGCACCGGCUAACUUCGUG
rnacentral:rRNA from 1 species